ensembl:lncRNA
AUGUCUCAAACAGGGAAAGUUCUUCAUUUGUAUGUGGAGGUAAGAUCCUCACCAGAGCAUGAUGGGAAAGGUAGUUCCUGUGAGACGACAGUGGAGCAAGAUGGUCCCGUUGAGGCUUUGACCAAAUUAGCACAGGCAGCCUCUGGGUUUCCCGCACCUCCCAGCAGCUCAUUCAAACCAAAUGUUAGCUUCAGACUGCAGCCUUCACACAGUUCUUUGGAUUCCCCUCAAAGAUGCAGCAUUCCCCAACAGGAACCAUUCCAACAGGUGCCCUCUGGCCUCAACAACAACAUUGACAGUAAACAAUUAAAACACUCGUCAUACUCCGGACAGACAUCUGGUCCCGGAACGCCUUGUCAAACAUGCAGCCAUCACAAGAACUCUAAACCAGAGCUCAGACAGAGGUCCGUGGUCACUUUCAGCUACAUUGAAAAGGCCCAGAUCAAAACCGUAGAGAGCCCUUGUAAUAGUCCCGGUGGAAUAAAGGAGGCAGCGGCUUGCCCACGUAAGAGGUAUAGUGAUCCAGUGUGGCCACGACCUGCAGAAUCUUCCUGCAAUAAUAGUCCAUUUCACCAGCACAUGGGUUCUACUUUGAAUCAUAUCGGUCAAGCUGCAACACAGCGAGCCCUGAAGGAAUUUGGGUCUCCCCAAUUGAGGUGUAAGUUUUCUCAUUGCUCAGACUGGAGUCCAGAGUUUCAUCGACGCCAAAGGGAACGAUGCCAGUCUUGGGCAGGUCCACCAUUGCCAAACUGCAGUGCCUACUGCCAUGAUCCUGACCCAGGCAGGGUAGGAGUUGCAUGUGGUAUCCACAAAAGCCCAGCAUCAGAUGCUUUCUCAUCCCACAUAGGGCACAACAACCAGCAGAAAUCCCCCUCCAAGUCCCAAGGAUGCCCCAAGCAGAACCUCAUUUCGAAGCAAGACUGCUCUGCUCCAGUCAGUCAAAGUUCGGGAAGCUGGGGUGAAGGGAGGCCUCUGUCAGAGCAAAGGACCAGCCUCACAAACACACCCACUCAUUGUUUGAACCAGCUGAGUGGAAGCAAUAACUCCUCAGCUCUGAACAGUCCUGAGAUAGCCCGCAAAAUUGCUGAAGAGGCCACCAAGGUGUCAACAAUUUUCAACGAGGUCCGAAGUUCUCCUCCUCCCGUUGUUUUCGGGGGUUCGUCUAAUCUAAACAGCACAAACUAUGGGUAUCCUUCUAGAGAAAUCCAGCAUGAGACCUUACAGCAGAGUCGAGUGCAGCAUUCAGCUGUCAAGAUGAACAUACCUGUGCAUGAAGACCAUUCUACGACAAACGGGGUGCAUGAAGCACCAGCUACUAAGAGCUCGGAUUUAAGAGAUGACCUGGCCAGUCAUUCAUUCUGCUCUGUCCCAGUGGAAGGAGACCCUGAUUCUGCGGCCCUUCCGUCACGUCUUCUUCGUCCAAGUUUGUCCAAAGCAGAUGUGUGUUCUCCACUCCGAGAUCCUCGCCAGCUCAGAGUUGACCUGCCAGUCUCUGACAGCCCCACUUUACACCGUCACAAGCCUCCACAGUACACUGGAGAGGAGUGGACAUCUGGGGAACCCUGGUUCCUGGACGAGGAGGACUGGGAUGACCAUGUCAUCGCAGAAAGCGUGGAGAUCUCCAGGCGGUUGUUUAUCGGUCAGAGUGUGGAUGAUUCUCCGGUCAGUUGGACAUCUAGACAACAGUGGAAAGAGCAGGCAAAGAAAGAGGAAGGGAAGUUCAGUUUGUCAGAAAAACUUGAAGGUCUCAACAGCAGUAGUCCAGUGUACAGAAAAAGCAAUAGGUUUGAGGUCACUAAAAGAGGAGAGGAGAAUGUGAGCAAUUCGUUAUGUGGAGCAAACCACAGCCCUGGGGAAAGUGUAGAGGAGAUGACCAGGCUAACACUGCAACAGAGACGGGCAGAAUGGAAGAGAAGACAAGCUUUGCUUCUAGGGCCGGUGGUAUUAGAAGAAGGAGAUGGGGAGAGAGGAGAGGAUGAACAGGGGUUUGGAGAUCAGCAGGGUUUAGUUGGGUCAUCCCCGAGCUCUAGUGGAGUUACGGGAAGCCUAGGAGACAGAGAUUGCAUCUCACCUGAGUCCAGCCAGAACAGCAACCAAUCAGAUCACCCAUCAUCAGGAAUACAGUCUGAUGGCGGUUCUUUAGUGCCAGGUCCAUCUCUGCACUGUCAGAAAAUGGCUCGUGCCAAGUGGGAGUUUCUGUUUGGCACUCCAGCAGAAAACACUGCCAGCAAACAAGAGAAGAGUGAGUAG